rnacentral:rRNA from 1 species
GAUGAACGCUGGCGGCGUGCCUAAUACAUGCAAGUCGAGCGAACAGAUGAGGAGCUUGCUCCUCUGACGUUAGCGGCGGACGGGUGAGUAACACGUGUAUAACCUACCUAUAAGACUGGGAUAACUUCGGGAAACCGGAGCUAAUACCGGAUAAUAUAUUGAACCGCAGGGUUCAAUAGUGAAAGACGGUUUUGCUGUCACUUAUAGAUGGAUCCGCGCCGCAUUAGCUAGUUGGUACGGUAACAGCUUACCAAGGCAACGAUGCGUAGCCGACCUGAGAGGGUGAUCGGCCACACUGGAACGUGGACACGGUCCAGGCUCCUACGGGAGGCAGCAGUAGGGAAUCUGCCGCAAUGGGCGAAAGCAUGACGGAGCAACGCCGCGUGAGUGAUGAAGGUCUUCGGAUCGUAAAACUCGGUUAUUAGGGAAGAACAAAUGUGUAAGUAACUAUGCACGUCUUGACGGUACCUAAUCAGAAAGCCACGGCUAACUACGUG